AGUAGUGUUUGCACAUUUUUACUCCUAUUCGUUUGACCUUUUAUUCUUGUUUUAGCUAUUAUAACGUGCAUGUUUUAUGUCUGAGUAUUUAUUGGUACUAAAACUCAGGAUUUUGAGUCUACUUUUGAAAAACGACAAGAGACAGCCCGCUUCAUCACACACUAUCACAGGAUAAGGACUGUGUGCGGAGAAGUGAUGACUGGGGCUGCUGGGGACUUUCCUGGACCAUGGCUGAUGUGUGACAGGGGGCUCAGAGGAAUCUACUAUGUCACGCUUAACAAAACUCAACCAAAUUCAAUUAACUACUCCACUGUGAGUUAUCCAACAAAAAUCUCCACUUUCACUUUGACUGCAGGAUAUGGCAUGUGGUGAAAGAGCAAAUCCAAACUCACUGGACCGUUUGAUUGAUCAAGUGCUUCUGGGGGACUAAAUUUAAUAGAUACAUGGAUAAAUGAAUGCAUACAUGAAUAAAUGUUUAUUGAUGGUGUUUGAAAUAAGCUUCCAACA